CCUGUGGGAGACAGUAAGAUGAACUAACAGCUAUUAAUUAUUAAGCAGAUGAUCAGGUGAUCAAAAACUUAAUUUUGAGAGAGGAAGAAGAGAGAGCUAAAGUACAUGUAGCCCAAAAAAUCAUGUCUUGAUAAAUGGACUAUGUAUGUGACAUAGACAAAGCUUCCAGACACCAGGGACAAAGGUCAGAUGCUGAAAUGUAAAUAUGCCUCUAAAGGAAACAGUUUGGUGGAGAGCUUAAAGUGAAGAAAACAAAUUGCAAGAUGGAUGUUACAUUUUUACACCUAAGAGAACACUUUGAUGAACUUCUAAAAAUCAACAUUCUAGCACAGCAGAAGGCAGUGACUGUUGAUAAUAAAGAUCGGAAGCCCCACUGUAAUUAAAGCCCAAGUCUGGCACUGAAGAUGUGUAGAAUUUUACUACAUACAGACGUCCUUGGCUCUUUGGACUGACAAAAUGGAGGAAAAAUGAGGAAUUCUGAGAGAAGUCAGAUAGAAGGAAUUACUCAAGAUUUCCUGGACAACAUUGCCUUGACUACAGUAGAAGAGCAGAAAUUAGAUUUCUGAGAACAUAGCACUCUAUUUGGACCAUAAGAUAGAAAAUUCUUACUUAAUUUACCUUCUAUAUUUUAACAGCUUGAAGAAAAAUUAUCUUUCCAGGUAUACAAAAGGUAAAGCUCGGUCCUGACUAGCAUCUAGAUACCAGAUGAUUUAAUUUAAGCCACAUGAAUUAAUGAGAUUUUUAAAAAUCAGCUUUUAAAAUAAUCAUACAUACACACGUUCUAUAGAAUAUGAAUGGUUAAAGUGUCAAUAAUAAGUACAUUCAAUCAUUGACAAUGGGGUUGGCUUGCAUUAGUAGUUAAUUUGGCUAUCUCUAGGACAUGAUACAAGAGAAAAAUAGCAGGUUUAGACUCAAAAGACAUGAAUUUGCAUCUAGAUGCUUCUUUCUACCAGUUUUGUGGCUGAGAAAGUCAUUUAAACAUCUGUAACUCAAUCUGAGCUAAUGAUGGAUCUCAAUCACAUAGGACAAAGGGGAAAUGUAUUUUUUUGACCCUACAGUAAAAUAAAAUGACUUUAGUCAUCAGAAAAUGAUCUUUCAAAUACAAUAUCAAUGACCUCUAAAUCAAAUUUUCCCCAUCUGUAAAACAGACCUGAUAAAACCACCUCAUACGAUUUUUUGUGAUGAUUAAACAAAUUUAAGUCAAUAAAAGAAUGUUAAGAAGAAAUUUGAUAACAUAAAAUAGGACAUUAUUAUGAUCCUUUAAUUUUGUUUUCUAGAGGCACCAAGAAAAAGAAAAAACAAUCUUAUUCUGGAAAUAAGGAUUCUAUUCUGGAAAUAGUAUCAAACCAAUAGAGAUUUAUUGAUUAUCUGGUAUUUCAUUACUGCCUUUUUUCUGAUUUAGAGAGCAUAUCUUAAUGAAUGACACUAAAAUGAUUUAACAAUUUUGAGCAGUUGACUUAAAAUGGGUUUUAAGUCAGAACAAAAUGUAUCUUAAUUGUCUGAUUAUGUAACUUUAUUUGGCCAUUUAAUUUAUAGGAUUUCUUUUCUAAAAGAGUUUAGUUUCCAUACUGGUUACCAGUGUGUAUAUGAGACAGAAAAAAAGCAAAACUUCAUGCUUAAGGUAAAAGUCAGUCACUUUUUUUGGAGCAUUUAUAAAAGUUAAGGGACUGAGUUUUCUUCAGGGCCCCCAAGCCCACUGGGUUAAAUAGUUUACUUUGGCCUAUAUUAUUUUAAUUGACUUGUAAUUCCCUCUGUACUUCCUUUUCUUCCCUCUGUGAUUCCCAAGAGGGGACAUAACACACUCUGGAGGUUGUUUUGUUUUUCCAACUUGCCUUGCAGCCAACUCUGUGCAAAAGCAAAGGAACUAUUAAUCGUGACCCUGGGCUUCCUUAUGACAUUCACAUCAGUAUUUUACCUAGAAUCUUCCAAAAUUUGCAAGGAGUUUUCAGGUUCUUUCUUGUAUCACGCCUUACACACAAAUCCUCCACUCCUUGAAGAGUGGCUUCUGGUGCUUUCAUUUAGAUAGCUUCUCAGUGUUACAGGAGAAAGUUCAAUCUCCUUCAUAACCUGAUGUACUCUCUUACCACUCUCUCAUACCCACUCAACAAUUUCCCCAUAUAGAACUUUCUGCUUGGCCCACUUAUGCUAUGCUCUUUCUUUCAUGCUUGAAUCAGCCUAAGAUGUCGGCCAGGAAUACGUUUUUCCCUCUUCUUUGCAGAGCAAAUGUCUGUUUAUCCUCUCUAUGUCUAAAGCUGUCUCCUAACCCCUUUAUACAUUCUUCACUUACCCUAAGGCAGGAUUACUUAUAAUUAUGCCAUAUAGCACUGUAUAAGCUUCUCUUGGGGCAAUUAUCACAAAACCUUAAUUUGUGUGUUAAUUUUCCUAUUUUACCCAAUAGAAUGUAAGCAUCUUAAUAAUAGAACUCUAGGUUUUAUAAAUGCCUGUCUCUUUUUUCUUCAAGACUUGGCCUUGGUUAUGUACCAGCUAUCUCCUAAAUAUUAAAUAAAGGUGUUUUAAAAUUUCUACUUAUUUGCCAAAAGUCUUUUUAGAUAAAGGAAUAGCAAGUGCACAGGCCCCAGGCAGGAAUGUGGUGCAGUGUUUGUGGACUGGCUAUGGCCAAUGUUGCUGAUACAGAGGGGGAAGGAGUAAAGUAGUAAAGAUUGGGUCACAGAAGGGCCAGAAGCCAGAUCCUAAGGGCUAUGGAAGACCUUGCCUUUUACCGUGGCCAGAAAUUUUUAAGUGGAGAAGUGAUGUGAUCUCUUAGAUUUAAAAGGCUUACAACAGAUUCAAAGACUAGUGGCUACUAAAGCAGGAAGAUGAGAUAGAAGGCUAUUGCAAAAAUCCAGACGAUGGUGCUAAUUGUUUCCUGCUAAUUCAAAACAAAAAUGCUAAUACAAACAUUGUAUGUGUAUUUAUUACUGUUUAUUAACGUUUUUUCACUCUUUCUUUAGAUGAUAAGUCAAUCUAAUUAGUCAUUAAAAUUUUUAUUCAUUCUAUUGUUAGUCUUAAUGAAUAAGACUUUUGUUUAGUGGUCUUAGUUUCACCUUAUCUCCAAUAUCUUACUAUGAUUUUCUAUGUGAAAUUUAAGCAAGAAACUAAAUCUGUUAAUAGCUGUCUGGCAUUAUAUCAUGUCAUUCUCUUUGUACUUAACUCUGUGUUUCAUAGUAUUCUAAAAUGGUGAUUAGUCAUUAAUCAGGAAUGUUCUGAAUGGCUUAGUGUAACUUCAGAUUUUGCUACAAACUUACAUUGAAAUAGUGAUAUGUUUUUAAUAUCAUUUCUAUCUUUUUUGAUUUGUAUUUUUUACGUUUUUAGUACCUAAAACCACUUAGGUGUUAAGCACCAAGAUAAUUUUUUGAUAAGCUCUACAUAAAUAUUCACAAGUAGGUUUUUAUAUCCUCAGUGCACAUUGUUCAAUAUCAACAAAUAUUAGAUGAUUAGUUACUCUGCUGAAGCAUUGACCUUUCAGAUGGUCACUGACAAAAAACUCUCAAUGAACUUUGUACAUUACUGCUUAUUUGGACUGUGAAUUCUAGUUCAAUUGUGAGAAAUGUUUAUUUUCCCACCCCUGUUUAUAUAGUUAUGCUAAAAUACUUCAUUGCUAUUUUCUUUAACACAUGCACUGAAUAGAAACAAAAAAGGGAAAAGACUUGUACAGUUAUUGUUAUAAAACUUCUGGAAAAAGCUAACAUGGAGAUAGAAAUUUUU